rnacentral:rRNA from 1 species
AGUGAACGCUGGCGGUAGGCCUAACACAUGCAAGUCGAACGGCAGCACAGGAGAGCUUGCUCUCUGGGUGGCGAGUGGCGGACGGGUGAGGAAUACAUCGGAAUCUACUCUGUCGUGGGGGAUAACGUAGGGAAACUUACGCUAAUACCGCAUACGACCUACGGGUGAAAGCAGGGGACCUUCGGGCCUUGCGCGAUUGAAUGAGCCGAUGUCGGAUUAGCUAGGUGGCGGGGUAAAGGCCCACCAAGGCGACGAUCCGUAGGUGGUCUGAGAGGAUGGUCAGCCACACUGCAACUGAGACACCGCCCAGACGCCUACGGGGUGCAGCAGUGGGGAAGAUUGGACAAUGGGCGCAAGCCUGAUCCAGCCAUACCGCGUGGGUGAAGAAGGCCUUCGGGUUGUAAAGCCCUUUUGUUGGGAAAGAAAUCCAGCUGGCUAAUACCCGGUUGGGAUGACGGUACCCAAAGAAUAAGCACCGGCUAACUUCGUGCCAGCCGCCGCGGUAA